CGGGUGACUUAUGCUUAGGAAUCUGCCUAUUAGUGGGGGACAACAUUUGGCCUGGAAUGCUAAUACCGCAUACGUCCUACGGGAGAAAGCAGGGGAUCUUCGGACCUUGCGCUAAUAGAUGAGCCUAAGUCGGAUUAGCUAGUUGGUGGGGUAAAGGCCUACCAAGGCGACGAUCUGUAGCGGGUCUGAGAGGAUGAUCCGCCACACUGGGACUGAGACACGGCCCAGACUCCUACGGGAGGCAGCAGUGGGGAAUAUUGGACAAUGGGCGCAAGCCUGAUCCAGCCAUGCCGCGUGUGUGAAGAAGGCCUUAUGGUUGUAAAGCACUUUAAGCGAGGAGGAGGCUACUUUAGUUAAUACCUAGAGAUAGUGGACGUUACUCGCAGAAUAAGCACCGGCUAACUCUGUGCCAGCAGCCGCGGUAAUACAGAGGGUGCAAGCGUUAAUCGGAUUUACUGGGCGUAAAGCGCGCGUAGGCGGCUAAUUAAGUCAAAUGUGAAAUCCCCGAGCUUAACUUGGGAAUUGCAUUCGAUACUGGUUAGCUAGAGUGUGGGAGAGGAUGGUAGAAUUCCAGGUGUAGCGGUGAAAUGCGUAGAGAUCUGGAGGAAUACCGAUGGCGAAGGCAGCCAUCUGGCCUAACACUGACGCUGAGGUGCGAAAGCAUGGGGAGCAACAGGGAUAGAUACCCUGUUAGUCCAGGCCGUAAACGAUGUCUACUAGCCCGUGGGGGCCUUUGAGGUUUUAUGGCGCACCUAACGCGAUAGGUAAAA
rnacentral:rRNA from 1 species